CCUUAAUCAGGUGCUUCUUUGCUGUUAAGGGUUGGGGGUCUGCAUCCCAUAAGCAGGAGGACCAGCAAAGGAAUGGUGGUUUCCGAGAAGAAAGUCAAAGUGUUGUGGUCAGAAGAGAGACGGUGGAUUCCAGGCAGAAAGAGACAACUGCUGUUUCGUUUUGAGAUUCCGUAAGAAUAUGUCUGUGGGACAAUGGAAGCCUAAGACUGGUAGGUUCUCACGCCUACCCUUCAAAGCCUCUGGAGAUGGGGGAAUGACUGGAGUGGUCCAGAUGAAGGCAGUGAGCCAGCUCAAGGACGGGGUGACCCAGUGGAAGACAGUGGCGGAAACAGGUGUUGGCUUUGCGAAGAAAUUCUGAUGAAUUCACUGAAAGUCCAGUGUCUACGGCGAGCUCUCCUGGGCUUCACGAGCAGCAGGCUCACAUCUGCUUCUCCCUCUUUGCAUUGUAAGCAGGAAGUUCACCGUCUGUUCAGACACAAAGGAGAUGUUAGCAGCACUUUAUUGGAUCCGCUCAAGCAUCAGGAUCUUUUCCAAUGAGUUGGCCUUCAGCUUCAGCAUCAGUCUCCAGGCAAGAAUACUGGAGUGGGUUGCCAUGCCCUCCUCCAGGGGAUCUUCCCGACCCAGGGAUUGAACCCUCUCAUGUCCCUUGCGUUGGCAGGUAGGUUCUUUACCACUAGCACCACCUGGGAAGGCCUUGGUUUUUAUAAAGGAAUGACAUAUUAAAAAUGCUGUUGGAGCCCUUCUCACCAUUUACCCUCUCCCCCAGUCCCUCUCCUCUCCUCUCCUCCUCUGUACUCCCUCCUCAGAAGUAACUCCCCCUGAAUUUGCAUUAAUUGUCCCCAUGCAAGAUUUUUACUAUUAAUACAUAUAUUAAUAUAUAUAUUUUCUGUGAACACUAAUGUGUAUCUAUGCAUGCAUAUAUAACAUAUAAAAUAUAUGUAUGUUUCCUAAACAGCCUUCUUUGCAUGAGUUCACACUUAGCAUCUCUAUCAUCCUAUGCAUACUAUCUACAAUUUCCUUUUCCAGCUCAACUUUAUAUUUUGGAGAUUUAUCCAUGGUGAAACAUUGAGCUCUGUCUCGAGCACUUUAACUGCUGCAUCAUAUUUGUUUGUAUGAAUUUCUGUGUGCACUUUCCUCCCGUGAAUGCUUGCCACCUCCAGUUUUUCACAAAAUGUUGCAGUGUACAUUCCUGUACACGUCCCACCCUGAACACUUCUCUAGCGGGUAGGCUUUCAAGCUGACCUGACUGCCACCAGCUAUCAGAAAUUCAUGUUAUGCUGAGACCCAGUGCAACACUCACAUGUAUACAGAUACACAGUACUCUUAGGACGCU
rnacentral:lncRNA from 1 species